rnacentral:rRNA from 1 species
CCGCCUGGGGAGUACGGCCGCAAGGUUAAAACUCAAAUGAAUUGACGGGGGCCCGCACAAGCGGUGGAGCAUGUGGUUUAAUUCGAUGCAACGCGAAGAACCUUACCUGGUCUUGACAUCCACAGAAGUUUUCAGAGAUGAGAAUGUGCCUUCGGGAACUGUGAGACAGGUGCUGCAUGGCUGUCGUCAGCUCGUGUUGUGAAAUGUUGGGUUAAGUCCCGCAACGAGCGCAACCCUUAUCCUUUGUUGCCAGCGGUUAGGCCGGGAACUCA